ensembl:snRNA U2 U2 spliceosomal RNA
AUUUCCCUCACGGGAUCAAAAAAGUAUCUAUCUAUCGGGGGACCACAUAUUAAACAGAUUUUUGAAACAGGGAGCUGGAUCAGGAGCUUGCUCCAUCCUCUCCACGCAUCGGCCCGGUAUUGCAGCGCCUCCGGGAGCGGUGCACCACCU